CUUGGUCAUUUAGAGGAAGUAAAAGUCGUAACAAGGUCUCCGUUGGUGAACCAGCGGAGGGAUCAUUACCGAGUACUAUAACUCAUAACCCUUUGUGAACCUUUAUACCUGUUGCUUCGGCGGCGCGCCUCCCGGGGCGUGCCCGCCGGCAUUAUCAGAAUCUCUGUUCGAACCCGACGAUACAUCUGAGUGUUCUAAGCGGACUGUUAAAACUUUCAACAACGGAUCUCUUGGCUCCAGCAUCGAUGAGGAACGCAGCGAAACGCGAUAUGUAAUGUGAAUUGCAGAAUUCAGUGAAUCAUCGAAUCUUUGAACGCACAUGGCGCCUUCCAGUAUCCUGGGAGGCAUGCCUGUCCGAGCGUCGUUUCAACCCUCGAGCCCCCGUGGCCCGGCGUUGGGGAUCUGCCCAGGCAGUCCCCGAAAACCAGUGGCGGACCCGUUGGGCCCUUCCUUUGCGUAGUAACAUCUGCCUCGCAUCGGGAGCCUGCGGGCUAUCCGGCCUCUAAACCCCCCUCAAGCCCGCUCCGGCGGCACCAAGGUUGACCUCGGAUCAGGUAGGAAUACCCGCUGAACUUAAGCAUAUCAAUAAGCGGAGGAAAAGAAACCAACAGGGAUUGCCUCAGUAACGGCGAGUGAAGCGGCAACAGCUCAAAUUUGAAAUCUGGCUCCUUCGGGGCCCGAGUUGUAAUUUGCAGAGGAUGCUUCGGGUACGGGUUCCUUCCGAGUUCCCUGGAACGGGACGCCAUAGAGGGUGAGAGCCCCGUCUGGUAGGACACCCAGCCCGUGUGAAGCUCCCUCGACGAGUCGAGUUGUUUGGGAAU
rnacentral:sRNA from 1 species